rnacentral:rRNA from 1 species
UACGUAGGUGGCGAGCGUUGUCCGGAUUUACUGGGCGUAAAGGGAGCGUAGGCGGACUUUUAAGUGAGAUGUGAAAUACCCGGGCUCAACUUGGGUGCUGCAUUUCAAACUGGAAGUCUAGAGUGCAGGAGAGGAGAGUGGAAUUCCUAGUGUAGCGGUGAAAUGCGUAGAUAUUAGGAGGAACACCAGUUGCGAAGGCGGCUCUCUGGACUGUAACUGACACUGAGGCACGAAAGCGUGGGGAUCAAACAGGAUUAGAUACCCCCGUA